UACGUAGGUGGCAAGCGUUGGUCCGGAUUUACUGGGCGUAAAGGGCGUGCAGGCGGUUUGUUAAGUGCAGGGUGAAAGCUCCCGGCUCAACUGGGAGAGGUCCUUGCAUACUGGCGAACUCGAGGGAGGCAGAGGAAAGUGGAAUUCCCGGUGUAGUGGUGAUAUGCGUAGAUAAUCGGGAGGAACACCUGUGGCGAAGGCGGCUUCUGGGCCUUACCUGACGCUGAGACGCGAAAGCGUGGGGAGCGAACCGG
rnacentral:rRNA from 1 species